rnacentral:rRNA from 1 species
GAUGAACGCUGGCGGCGUGCCUAACACAUGCAAGUCGAACGGAAGCGUGGGGUGUUUGCACCCCGUCCGCGAGCGGCGGACGUCUGAGUAACGCGUGGGAACGUGCGCUAAAGUGAGGAAUAACUUCCCGACAGGGUGUUUAAUCCCGCAUAUUAUCUUCGGAUCUUAGGAUUUAUCCGGUUUGGGGGCGGCGCGUGUCGGAUUAGGUUGUUGGUGAGGUACUGCCUCACCAAGCCGACGCUCCGUGGCUGGUCGGGGAGGAUGACCAGCCAGACUGGAACUGGGACACGGUCCAGACUCCUACGGGAGGCAGCAGUGGGGAAUCUGGCACAAUGGGCGAAGGCCUGAUGGGCCAACGCGGCGGAGAGGACGAAGGUCUUCGGGUUGUAAAGUGCUUUUAUAAGUGAGGAAUAUGACGGUAGCUCAUAAAUAAGGAUCGGCUAACUACGUG